UUCAACCAAUCAGACUCAAUAACAGUUGGACAUUUGGUCCAUGUGUCUUUAACCUGUUGAAUGUGUUGACUCUGUCCAGUCUCUGUGGACGUCUUUCCAAACUUUCAGCAGUUCUUCAGAAGAGACAGUUUGUCUGUGAGUUGUGCAGAUGUUCAGACAGAUGGAUGGACAGUGAAGAGGACACUGAGGAACGGAAACACUGAGACGUGCAGAGUUUGGAAGGAUAGACGGGUCAUUCUGCGUUGUCGAUGGUCUCACGCCAGGGAACAGUGGAGUUUACUGGUGUGAAACCAGUUCAGGACAGCAGAGUGACCAGGUGUCCAUCACUGUAACAGAUUUUUCUGUAAUCUUGGACAUCCCUGCACUUCCUGUGGAGAAAGGAAGUGAUGUCACUCUGCGCUGUAUAGACAGAGGUGGUUCAACACUGAAAGCCGAGUUUAUAAAAAACAGUCGGACACUCACAUCUGUCCCAGUAGAAGAGUGGACCAUCCCUGUAGACCACCUGUCUGAUGAAGACCAGUACUCCUGUUAUGUUCCAUUGGCUGGUGAAUCUCCAUCGAGCAGCCUGAGGGUCAAAGGAAGCUGGGCUUCCACUGCAGUCUGUGAGAAAUCACCACUGGUUUCUACCACCACUACCUCUGUUCCUACAACUUCAUCCUCUGAUCCUGGUUCCUCUUCAGUUCCUGGUUCUUCAGAUCCUGGUUCUUCAAUGUCCAUUGUGAGGCUGUUCCUCCACCUGCUGGUCGUGAGUCCGUACUGCGUCUCCACUGUCCUGAUGGU